GAGAGUAGCUGAAAGCAUGGGAGACAAGAAGUUAGGAAAGCACACAAAACAAGCCCGAGAGGCUGUAGCUGGCUUGAAGAAGCAGCUUCAGGGGCCAAGAUAUUGAGCUGUGAUCCACUGUUGGGAAAGAGGGCUUGGAACAGCCUUACAUACACCUCUGCCUAAUGCAGAAAGACAUGUGAUGGGAACCUGAAGGGCCAGUGUGUACCUGAGGACUGAAUAAAUUGAACCCAGCAUUCUGCUUCGCUUUCUCUUAGAAGUCAGUUUUCAGAGCCAAAUUCCUUUUACUAGCUGGGAAGCAGAGACACGGACAGUUAACACUCUUUGUGGGUACAUUGGCUGGAGGCAACAACAGGUCUUAAACAUGUAAUCUGUAUGUGUUAGAGGGACUCAUUGAGCAGCAAGGCAAUUUAUUCUGUCAAAUUGGUCUGGAUUCUCAGUAUGGGGGAUAAGCGUAUUCACUGAAGCUUUUUGCAGUUAAACUCUUUUCUCCAUGGGUGAGAUUUACUUUUCAGUCCAGUCUACUUGCUUUGGAAAGCACGUUCUGUUGGUGACCCUUCAGUUGACCGGAAAAAUUAGGUCUUGAUGAAGAGGAGAAAAUCAUAGUCAUGAUACAGAAAAUGGAUAAUUAUAUUAAAUAAUAAUACUGCUUUGCAAAAUCCUUUGUAUUUUAACAAAGAAAAAUGUUUUCUAAAUAUGGUGUGCCUUAUAAAGCCCUCUGUUAAAAUCCUA